rnacentral:rRNA from 1 species
AGCGAACGCUGGCGGCAGGCCUAACACAUGCAAGUCGAACGAACUCUUCGGAGUUAGUGGCGGACGGGUGAGUAACACGUGGGAACGUGCCUUUAGGUUCGGAAUAACUCAGGGCAACUUGUGCUAAUACCGAAUGUGCCCUUCGGGGGAAAGAUUUAUCGCCUUUAGAGCGGCCCGCGUCUGAGUAGCUAGUUGGUGAGGUAAAGGCGCACCAAGGCGACGAUCAGUAGCUGGUCUGAGAGGAUGAUCAGCCACAUUGGGACUGAGACACGGCCCAAACGCCUACGGGAGGCAGCAGUGGGGAAUCUUGCGCAAUGGGCGAAAGCCUGACGCAGCCAUGCCGCGUGAAUGAUGAAGGUCUUAGGAUUGUAAAAGUCUUUCACCGGGGACGAUAAUGACGGUACCCGGAGAAGAAGCCCCGGCUAACUUCGUG